rnacentral:piRNA from 1 species
UGAAUUAGGAAGCCACAGUCUACACUAACA